CCUGUUUGUGCCCCCCCCCCCCCGUCCCUCGCUCGCUGCCCCGUCGGGAGGUGGCGUCCGGGGAGCCCCCGCCUUUCCCGACACGGGCUCGCUGGCCUCUCCUUUUUGCCCUGUUUUUCCCCAGAAGUCUCACAUGGCCAUUUAAAGCCUCUGAUUUGGGGGGUCCCCCCCGGGGGUUUCCCCCCCAUUUGAUCAGCAGCGAUUUGUCCUGGUUUAGGUGGGAAGUUGUUGCCCUGGGCCAUUCCCCAAGAGGGAUCGGGGUUCCUGCGGGCUGUUCGGGGGAGCCCUGAGACAGCUGCCUCGGGGAUGGGGUGACCGUUCCCUGCUAGCAAGGGGCACGGCGGGGCACGGGAGGGGAAGGAAGGAAGGAGCGAGUCCCCCAUGGAGCCCGCCCAGCCCCCUUGGUUCUGCUGUCCCCUAGCAUGUUGUUCAGAGACUUUGUUACUGGGAGGCUUGAAAAUCUCUCUGUGGGCUUAGCUGGCAGGGGGGGGGCCAGGUCUACGCUGGAAUAAAGAGAUCAAACGUUUUCCCAGCCUGGCAGAAUCGAGGGUGUCUGUCUGCUGGGAAAGAACCUGGGGGAAUUGUGGUGUGAGAUUAACUGAAGCCUGUUCUGAAACCUCCCCCAUUUCCCUUCUCGCCCGGCCAGGCUGCAGAACGACUCCACGUUUCGCUCCAGCUCAUCCUGUCCUCCCAGGGCACAGGCAGAGAAAUGGCUGCAGCCGAUCCAGUUCAGGGGCCGGUGACCUUCGAGGAGGUGGCUGUGUAUUUCACCAGGGCAGAGUGGGCUCUGUUGGACCCUGCUCAGAGAGCCCUCUAUGGAGAUGUCAUGCAGGAGAACUAUGAGGAUGUGACCUUCCUGGGGUUUCCAGUUUCCAAACCUGAUGUGAUCUCCCAGCUGGAACGAGGGGAGGAGCCGUGGGUCCCAGAUCUCCAGGGCUGUGAGGAAGGAAAGAUCCUGAGAGGUGCCUGCGCAGGUUCUGGGAUGGUGAGUGAGGAGAAGAAGCAGAAUCCUCAGCAGGAAGAUUCUGAGGAAGUGGAACCACGUGGGGGAUUAUUGCAAGGCUCCAGAGGGAACGUGUCCAGGCAUCUUGUGCAGGGGAAAGCCUGUGAGAGUCAGCACAGGCCAGAGAGGGAGCAGAGAAACAAGCCAGUGGAGAAAGUGGGUAAAUUCAUUAAUUGUCAGGGAACUCACCAGGACCUCAUGGAAACCGCAGCCCAGCAGCGAAUACCUACAGGAGAGAGAAAAAAUACAUGCAGUGAAUGUGGAAAACAUUUCACUAGCCAUUCAGGCCUUAUAAAACAUAAGAGAAUCCACACUGGAGAGAGGCCCUAUGGAUGCAGUAUGUGUGGGAAAACCUUCAGUCAGAGCAUUCACCUUAUUCGACAUCACAGGAUCCACACAGGAGAGAGACCCCAUGAAUGCAGUGAGUGCGGGAAAACCUUCACUCUGAGCUCCACCCUUAUUAAUCAUCAGAGGAUCCACACAGGAGAACGACCCUUUAAAUGCAGUGAGUGUGGGAAAAAGUUCACUCAGAGCUCAGGUCUUGUUAAACAUCAGAGAAUCCACACAGGAGAGAAACCUUAUGAAUGCUGUGAGUGUGGGAAAAGCUUCACUGACAGAUCAGAUCUUAUUAAUCAUCAGAGGAUCCACACAGGAGAGCGACCCUAUAAAUGUAGUGAGUGUGGGAAAAAGUUCACUCGGAGCUCAGGUCUUAUUACACAUCAGAAGAUCCACACAGGAGAGAAACCCUACAAAUGCUGUGAAUGUGGGAAAAGCUUCAUUCAGAGCUCAGCCCUCAAUAAACAUCAGAGGAUCCACACAGGGGAGAGAACCUACAAAUGCUGUGAGUGUGGGAAAAGCUUCAGUCAGAGCUGUCACCUUAUUCGACAUCACAGGUUGCACACAGGAGAGAAACCCUACGAAUGCAGUGAGUGUGGGAAAAGCUUCACUCAGAGUUCAGCCCUUAAUAAACACCAGAGGAUCCACACAAGGGAGAGACCCUACGAAUGCUGUGAGUGUGGGGAAAGCUUCUCUGUAAAGUCAGACCUUAUUGAACAUCAGAAUAUCCACAUGGGAAGGAUACUUCAUCAAUGCUCUGAGUGUGGAAAAACUUUCACACAGAGUUCAUCCCUUAAUACACAUCAGAGGAUCCACACAGGAGAGCGCCCCUAUGAGUGCUGUGAGUGUGGGAAACAGUUCAGUCAGAAAUCAACCCUAAUUACACAUCAAGCAAGGCAUACAGGAGAGAGACCCUAUCAGUGCUGUGAUUGCGGGAAAGGCUUCAGUGUGAGCUCAGACCUCAUUGUACAUCAGAGAAUUCACACGGGAGAGAGACCUUAUAGAUGCUGUGAGUGUGGGAAAAGUUUCACCCGGAGCUCACCCCUUAAAAGACAUCAGAGUAUUCACAGGAGAGAGACACAGCAUAGAAACUCUGUGUAGGGCAGAGAAAAGAUUUUAAAAAAACCAGAACACAUUUGCUAAUUCCCACAUAGUGACCUUUUGGUUUGUUUGCACUAUUUGUGUCACUCUGUUCUCUCAGAUCCCUCGUGUGUUGCCCACUUGUGCCUUUUACAGGUCGCCCUUCUCUAGGGUGAAUCCUGUGGUCCUUUCUGCCAACUCCUUUCUCCUGUGAGUCAUUGGAGUGUGUGUCCUUCCAGCAAGGAGUUUCCAUCAGCCCCAGGUGGGGGACCACAAGUAGCCUCACUGAGUGAAAAUGGACUAGGGUUUUCUCUCUUACUGUAGGAUUUCCUUGGAGUUGGUGUGCUCGAGGAGCUAUCCUGAUGUAAACACACCGCUACAUUUGCAGUGCUGACAUAGCCCAGGCACAGGGGUUGGGGUUAGCUAGCAUCUUCCCCUUUGGCCUGUCCUAAUGGACACCAAUUUUCCUGGUCUGGACAAUCCCUGAGCAUCACGUUUAUGCUGUCACCCCACUAGCAGAGUUAGUCACCAAGUUCCCCCUUUGCUGACAAAAUGUCUCCUUCCCAGCUGUGCUGGGCAGCAGGUAUUUUUACUUUUAUCCGUUUCCUUAUUGACAAUAUAUUUCGAUAUAGCAAAGAGGAGAAGCAGGAGUAGGACGAAUGUAUCAUUUCAGCCUCUGCGACGCUGUAAGGAAAGGGGGUGAGCCAGAGGGAUUCCCUCCUUCCCCAUCCCCAUCACCGUGCCCACUCAGUGCUGGCACCUGUGAGGCACAGUGGAGUUUCUCCACCUAUAUUCUACCCCUCCAGCUCCCAAAGAGUCUCUGCAAUUAGUAUCAAUUUGAUCCUAAAUCUGACUCAUUAGAGCUGGAAAUGAAAGUGUCCCAGACCUGGACGGGGAAUUCCAAUGGAUCCCAAACACAGUGACAUCAUUCCGAGUUUAAAUCCCAGUUGCUGUCUAUUGACAAAGCCACUUCUGGACUUUUUCCUGCCGAUAUGAGAUUCUUUGCAGAUGAGAAGGUCGGCAGUUUUUCCCUAUUACGAUGAUGAUUCCCCCCGCCCCUCCCAAUAACAACUCCAUAAUAAGGAAGUGCUGUUGAUGAAGCAGGUUUGAAUGGAUCAGAGGAGAAAGCAAUGGGGGAAUCUGCUCUCCUGAUUUCCGAGUUAUCAGAUGUAAGCUGAUCUGGAAUUUCAUUUUUCAUGAAAGAGAAACUGACUUACACCGCUCUGUGUUGAAGCUUUUUCUCUCUCUCCUGAAGACCAUUUAGUCGCAUAAUCGAAUAUCAGUUUUGUUCUCCAGGACGUAGCUUGGAUUUAUCGAGGACUUUGGGAGAAAUGACUGUUUGCUAAAAGAGUCCUUCCUUUAUUUUUGUCUUUCCCCCCACUGCUGCAUAAUGACAUUGCAGAAACUUUAGUGCAGUUCAUGCACCUGGAGAGGCUGCUCCAAGCCAUUGGGCAUGCUACCAAGGAAACAGGAGUGGGUUUAGGCCUCCAUCCACUCUGAAAUGGUGAACAACAGCAAACCCCCGAUUGCACAAAUAACUGAACUAACUGGAUGCGUGUGGCCUAUUUGGGAAACGCUGUCCCUGCCUGUGUUGAUGUGGAGAAAAGAGAAGUACAUUUGUGAACUUGCCUGUGAUAGAUGCUCAAAUGUGGACUGAAAUGAACUCAGUGUUGAAAGUGAGAGAACUGCAGAAUAUCUAUUUUUAAUAAGUUUCCCAAGUUUCCCCUCCUUUGGUGGCUUUUGGGGAUUCUGAGGCAGGAGAGUUUCUAGUCUCUAACUUACACCCUGUGCCACCAGAUUAAAGAAACAAACUGGGCAUGUUUGUAGAAGCCAUUCCUCACUAACUCAGCUCAGAUGUUGGGUUUGGUAAAAGACUCUGUUCCAGAGAAAUGGAAAUGUAUCCUGACCAAGGCCAAGGAUUUGGAAGAACUCAGGCUGAUAUAGCAGACACCCAGUAGUUGAUUGUUGCCCUAGAGAAGGACGCUGCGGUGAACUACGGUCCAGCUUUUCAGGAAGUGCCUUUGAAAUCUGACAGGACCACGUGGUACAUCCUCAACAGACAUUAUAAAUGGUUGCAGAAGCUUGUAAAUCUCGUGUCGGGUUCUGCAUUUGACUAGGGAACCGGGACCGACACAGAAGAGCUCUUUGUCCUGCUAUGACAUCUAGAGGCCAACAGGAGCCAACUGAGCCCACCACUGAUCCCAUCUCUUGUGAGAUGGCAAAGCAGCUGUUGCACGGGAAGGAGGAGACAGAAGAGGCCGAGCAGCGUGUGCAGGGGUGUACCAGCCCCACAUAACCCCACAGUCUAGGCGGAGGAAGCCAAGCCCCUCCCCAGCCCUGCCAGACAUGCUACAACUGGAGCACCAGUGUGAAAGGGAGCAGCUCAGCUCACACUAGGCAGAGCGCCGAAAAUGGAGGAUGCACAUUGUAGGCUCCAGUCCAGAAGGAGCUGAAGCCCCUGACUGCAGAGCCCCGAGGCGCCGAGACCCAGCCGCACCCCCGGGUGCCUGCAGAUGUAUAAGGGAGAUCGGAGUGUCUGGGAGUUUCCCACGCCGGGAGCCCAGAGACCCCCAGCCUGUGGCCUAGAGACUUCUCCUCUGAAGUAACCUGGGUGAACGAGCCAUUGUCAUGCUGAGUGACGUCAGCAUGUUCUGGUUGGAUCCCCCCUGACUCAACGGCAAACACAUUGGCCACGGACAAGGCCCUGGGCUAGGGCAAGGGGGAGUAAGGAGAGUCUGGGUCCCCCUGCCCUGGCUUCCAUCCAUCCUCGGGUGGCUGCCCACAUCCCCAUUGCGCCACUAGACUGCACGGCCCCAAGAGGAGGGGCAACCAUCUUGUCUCUGAACUCUCAGCCAAACUCUCAGAUCCCUGCACUGAAGGGCAGCCGUUGACUCUGGUUGUUGGGCCACACAGCCCUGGACGGAGAGGGCGGCCGCACGGACUCUGGCCUUUGGGCCACACAGCCCUGACGGAGAGGACAGCUGCACGGACUCUGGUCGUUGGGCCACACAGCCCCGGACGGAGAGGGUGGCCACACGGACUCUGGUCGUUGGGCCACACAGCCCCGACGGAGAGGGCGGCCGCACGGACUCUGGCCGUUGGGCUACACAGCCCUGGAUGGAGAGGGCGGCCGCAUGGACUCUGGCCGUUGGGCCACACAGCCCCGACGGAGAGGACGGCUGCACGGACUCUGGUCGUUGGGCCACACAGCCCCGACAGAGAGGGCGGCCGCACGGACUCUGGUCGUUGGGCCACACAGCCCCGACGGAGAGGGCGGCCGCACGGACUCUGGCCGUUGGGCCACACAGCCCCGGACGGAGAGGGCGGCCGCACGGACUCUGGUCGUUGGGCCACACAGCCCCGACAGAGAGGGCGGCCGCACGGACUCUGGUCGUUGGGCCACACAGCCCCGACGGAGAGGGCGGCCACACGGACUCUGGCCGUUGGGCUACACAGCCCUGGAUGGAGAGGGCGGCCGCACGGACUCUGGUCGUUGGGCCACACAGCCCCGACGGAGAGGGCGGCCGCACGGACUCUGGCCGUUGGGCUACACAGCCCUGGAUGGAGAGGGCGGCCGCAUGGACUCUGGCCGUUGGGCCACACAGCCCCAGUCGGAGAGGGCGGCCGCACGGACUCUGGUCGUUGGGCCACACAGCCCUGGAUGGAGCGGGCGGCCGCACAGACUCUGGGUGUUGGGCCACACAGCCCUGAGUGGGAGGGCAGCCAUUUUGGCUGUGGCCAUAAGGCCAAACCACCCUGAGGCUAAGGACAGUUAUUUAGUUUCACCCAUGGGACCUCGCCCCUUCACCCCUAAGGCAUCGCCCAUCUGUCACCAUAAGACCCACACCAUGAUAUAAAACUUUCAGGGUCAGGAUGCAAAUAUGAGUAGAAGCAACGAGUAGCAUGUGACCCCUCUAAGAGCUCCUGCCACUCCUCUACCAAUCUGGGGGUGUUUUAUCUCCAUCCAUCUGCCUCAGGAAUGGAUUUGACCAAUGGGGGAAAGUUCUGGGGCAGAGUGACCCAUCCGGAAGUGGGUCACGUGACCCCUCCGAGAACUCCUCCCAGUUGGGGCGAGCCUCAGCCCCUUAGGACCAGCCAGAGAGGGGAUUUCACCAAAUAGGGUAAGUGCUGUGGUGGGGUGACCUGCCCACAAGAGGGGCCCAUCACCGCUCCAUGAAAUCCCCCCACCGUCCUCUACUAAUCGGUCAGGGUUUCACACACCCCAUAGGUCAUCCCAGAAGGGAAACGUACCGAUCCGAAUAGGCAGUGCCCGAAGGUCGAGGCCAGAAGCCGCCGAUCUCUGGAGCUCCAUGUUUGCGUGGCUGGCAGCAUCCUCCUGGAAGUCGCAACACAACACUGCGUGGAAGAGCCUGUCUCGUUCCAAGGAUGUCUUUUGCAGAAAUCGUGGCCUAGGCCUUCGGGCUAAACCUGUUCUGGAUUGGUACACGUUUCCCUUCUGAGAUGGCCUAAGGUGGGAGUGAAACCCUCGCCAAUUGGUAGAGGGCGGUGUGGGGACUUUUUAGGGACCACGGGAUCCUGUUGCGGGCAGCUCACUCCACUAUGGCACUUCCCGUAUUUGGUCAAAUCCCCUCUCGGGGUGGCCCUACGGGGCAGAUGCCCACUUCAAUUGGUAGAGGACAGAGGGAGGAGUUCUCAGAGGGGAGAUACAACCCCCUUCUGGAUGGAUCACCCUGCCCCGCAACGUCCCCUGAUUGGUCAAAUGCAGUCUCUGGGUGUGUAAAAUGGUGUUUGCCCCUGCCAAAUUUUCGUAAAAGAAGGGAAGAAAGGCAUGUAUGUUUUGUGUUAUCUAUAAGGUGGCCAUCUUGGACUUGGCAAAAGAAUCUGGUGACCUUUUGCCAUUGGCGAUAUUAGUUUGGGUUGGGAAGCACACUGCCACGCACGGAUUGAAUCCGCGUAGACAGGGUCUAACAUCCAGACAGAGACGACGCAAAGAGGGAUAGGGAGGGUUUUUAGUUAGGUCUACUCACCCGGUCCUGUGUCCAUCAUCGAAGUCUGUCCCUGACGUCCAAUGUCAAGAGAGCAGAAGCUGUCCAUCGCUCUCCCUGCAAGAGAAGGUAGAAAGCACAUCAACAUUUCCUCGUGGGUGUAAUUGUUUGUGAGAGUGGAGCAUUUCCAGAGUUAAAGUUUGGUUACUCCACCCGUUCUCUAGCCUAUCCUAGUCUUUUCCCCCAUCAUAAAUAAAGUCUUGUUUGUGUGGUUA